rnacentral:rRNA from 1 species
UAGGGAAUUUUGGACAAUGGGCGAAAGCCUGAUCCAGCAAUGCCGCGUGUGUGAAGAAGGCCUUCGGGUUGUAAAGCACUUUUGCCCGGAAAGAAAUCCUUGGCUCUAAUACAGUCGGGGGAUGACGGUACCGGAAGAAUAAGCACCGGCUAACUACGUGCCAGCAGCCGCGGUAAUACGUAGGGUGCAAGCGUUAAUCGGAAUUACUGGGCGUAAAGCGUGCGCAGGCGGUUUGCUAAGACCGAUGUGAAAUCCCCGGGCUCAACCUGGGAACUGCAUUGGUGACUGGCAGGCUAGAGUAUGGCAGAGGGGGGUAGAAUUCCACGUGUAGCAGUGAAAUGCGUAGAGAUGUGGAGGAAUACCGAUGGCGAAGGCAGCCCCCUGGGCCAAUACUGACGCUCAUGCACGAAAGCGUGGGGAGCAAACAGGAUUAGAUACCCUGGUAGUCCACGCCCUAAACGAUGUCAACUAGUUGUUGGGGAUUCAUUUCCUUAGUAACGUAGCUAACGCGUGAAGUUGACCGCCUGGGGAGUACGGUCGCAAGAUUAAAACUCAAAGGAAUUGACGGGGUCAUAGCUGUUUCCU